GGCUGGGAUGGCAGGCCAGGUGUCCCCUUCCUCCCUCACCACUCACGUGCAUCCCUCCUGAAAUGUGCACUCGCUCAGUCUAAGAGAAUGACCUUUUCCCGUAGAGGAGAACCUGUCUUCACUCAAAGGUAUGUGAGUAUUUGCACGCCCUGCCAGAACCUCUACACAAACUCUCAAAUGGAAGUAGGGCUGGAGAGAUGGCUCAGUGGUUAAGAGCACUUGUGUGCAAUCAUUA
rnacentral:snRNA from 1 species